rnacentral:rRNA from 1 species
AUUGAACGCUGGCGGCAUGCCUUACACAUGCAAGUCGAACGGUAACGGGCCUUCGGGUGCCGACGAGUGGCGAACGGGUGAGUAAUACAUCGGAACGUGCCCGAUCGUGGGGGAUAACGAGGCGAAAGCUUUGCUAAUACCGCAUACGAUCUACGGAUGAAAGCAGGGGACCGCAAGGCCUUGCGCGGACGGAGCGGCCGAUGGCAGAUUAGGUAGUUGGUGGGAUAAAAGCUUACCAAGCCGACGAUCUGUAGCUGGUCUGAGAGGAUGAUCAGCCACACUGGGACUGAGACACGGCCCAGACUCCUACGGGAGGCAGCAGUGGGGAAUUUUGGACAAAGGGCGCAAGCCUGAUCCAGCCAUGCCGCGUGCAGGAUGAGGGCCUUCGGGUUGUAAACUGCUUUUGUACGGAACGAAAAGCCUUCUUUUAAUACAGGAGGGUCAUGACGGUACCGGAAGAAUAAGCACCGGCUAACUACGUG